CCCUUAGAUGUUCUGGGCCGCACGCGUGCUACACUGAGUGGAUCAGCGGGUCAGGUUGCGCGAAAGUGUUUCCUAAUCUUGAAAUCCGCUCGUGAUGGGGAUUGACGGUUGCAAUUUUCCGUCAUGAACGAGGAAUACCUUGUAAGCGCGGGUCAUCAUCCCGCGCUGAAUACGUCCCUGCCCUUUGUACACACCGCCCGUCGCUCCCACCGAUUGAGUGGUCCGGUGAGGCUUUGGGAUCUGAGCAAAAAGAGCGUUUCGCUCGUUUGGCUCGGAAAACUCAGUCGAACCUUAUCAUUUAGAGGAAGGAGAAGUCGUAACA
rnacentral:rRNA from 1 species